rnacentral:rRNA from 1 species
GACGAACGCUGGCGGCGUGCUUAACACAUGCAAGUCGAACGGAAAGGCCCUGCUUUUGUGGGGUGCUCGAGUGGCGAACGGGUGAGUAACACGUGAGUAACCUGCCCUUGACUUUGGGAUAACUUCAGGAAACUGGGGCUAAUACCGGAUAGGAGCUCCUGCUGCAUGGUGGGGGUUGGAAAGUUUCGGCGGUUGGGGAUGGACUCGCGGCUUAUCAGCUUGUUGGUGGGGUAGUGGCUUACCAAGGCUUUGACGGGUAGCCGGCCUGAGAGGGUGACCGGCCACAUUGGGACUGAGAUACGGCCCAGACUCCUACGGGAGGCAGCAGUGGGGAAUAUUGCACAAUGGGCGGAAGCCUGAUGCAGCAACGCCGCGUGCGGGAUGACGGCCUUCGGGUUGUAAACCGCUUUCGCCUGUGACGAAGCGUGAGUGACGGUAAUGGGUAAAGAAGCACCGGCUAACUACGUGCCAGCAGCCGCGGUGAUACGUAGGGUGCGAGCGUUGUCCGGAUUUAUUGGGCGUAAAGGGCUCGUAGGUGGUUGAUCGCGUCGGAAGUGUAAUCUUGGGGCUUAACCCCUGAGCGUGCUUUCGAUACGGGUUGACUUGAGGAAGGUAGGGGAGAAUGGAAUUCCUGGUGGAGCGGUGGAAUGCGCAGAUAUCAGGAGGAACACCAGUGGCGAAGGCGGUUCUCUGGGCCUUUCCUGACGCUGAGGAGCGAAAGCGUGGGGAGCGAACAGGCUUAGAUACCCUGGUAGUCCACGCUGUAAACGGUGGGUACUAGGUGUGGGGUCCAUUCCACGGGUUCCGCGCCGUAGCUAACGCUUUAAGUACCCCGCCUGGGGAGUACGGCCGCAAGGCUAAAACUCAAAGGAAUUGACGGGGCCCCGCACAAGCGGCGGAGCAUGCGGAUUAAUUCGAUGCAACGCGUAGAACCUUACCUGGGUUUGACAUGGAUCGGGAGUGCUCAGAGAUGGGUGUGCCUCUUUUGGGGUCGGUUCACAGGUGGUGCAUGGCUGUCGUCAGCUCGUGUCGUGAGAUGUUGGGUUAAGUCCCGCAACGAGCGCAACCCUUGUUCACUGUUGCCAGCACGUUAUGGUGGGGACUCAGUGGAGACCGCCGGGGUCAACUCGGAGGAAGGUGGGGAUGACGUCAAGUCAUCAUGCCCCUUAUGUCCAGGGCUUCACGCAUGCUACAAUGGCUGGUACAGAGAGUGGCGAGCCUGUGAGGGUGAGCGAAUCUCGGAAAGCCGGUCUCAGUUCGGAUUGGGGUCUGCAACUCGACCUCAUGAAGUCGGAGUCGCUAGUAAUCGCAGAUCAGCAACGCUGCGGUGAAUACGUUCCCGGG